GACCCAGACUCCUACGGGAGGCAGCAGUGGGGAAUAUUGCACAAUGGGGGAAACCCUGAUGCAGCGACGCUGCGUGAGCGAUGAAGUAUUUCGGUAUGUAAAGCUCUAUCAGCAGGGAAGAAAAUGACGGUACCUGACUAAGAAGCCCCGGCUAACUACGUGCCAGCAGCCGCGGUAAUACGUAGGGGGCAAGCGUUAUCCGGAUUUACUGGGUGUAAAGGGAGCGUAGACGGCAUGGCAAGCCAGAUGUGAAAUGCCGGGGCUCAACCCCGGGACUGCAUUUGGAACUGUUAAGCUGGAGUGUCGGAGAGGCAGGCGGAAUUCCUAGUGUAGCGGUGAAAUGCGUAGAUAUUAGGAGGAACACCAGUGGCGAAGGCGGCCUGCGGGACUGCAACUGCCGUUGAGGCCCGAAAGCGUGGGGAGCAACCAGGAUUAGAUACCCCCGUAA
rnacentral:rRNA from 1 species